GGGGGUAUAGAUUAGUGAUAGAGCAUUCGACAGCAGUUCGAGAGGUCCCUGGUUCAAACGUGGGUGCCUCCU